GUUUGAUAGAGAUCUGAGAGGUGAGAGCCACAGGCCAAGGGACAAUAGCCAAAGCAGGACUGGGAAACCAUUCAUCACCAGGGGACAAAGCAGCUGUCACAAGGGACAGGAGCAUCCUGCAGGCAUGUCAGCUGUGGAGUGGCCUAAAUGACAGGACAGGCAAUCUAACCAGAGUAGGGAGUGUGCUGGGGUGACAGGGGGAAUCCAGC